GGCCUGGUGGGGUAGUGGUAACACCCCUGUUUUACUUACAUGUUUACCAGAAAGUCCUCUGCAGGAGAUUCCUUGUUCGAUUCAAAGUUAGGCCA